rnacentral:lncRNA from 1 species
AUGCUUUGCUUCUAUGAAUUCAAACUAUUGUUGGAUAUUUUAUUGGUUUUUCGUUAACAAAGUUGAACAUUUUAUUGUUACCAACUUAUUUUAUAUGUUUUGCAAUCUUGAUGUUUUUUUUCAAUAUUUUAUAUUUUUGCAUUUCAUGCUUGCUAUAUAAUUUAUAUCUUUGAUUUCUAUGUAUAUUUUAUACAUUAUAUAUUAGAUAAUUAAAAAUAACAAAAUACAAAUGAUUAUUUUAUUUUACGCAUUUAAGCCAACUAUAGCCCGAAACUCAAACGUUUAGGGUUAGGGUUGAAAAUUUAUAACCCGACAAAAUCUCCAACCUGGUUAGCCCACACCCGAUUAACCCGAAACCCGAUAGGGCUGACCUGAUUGACAUCUCUACCCAAGUCCCACCUGCGCCCCAUUCUCUUUCGUCUCUCUUUCAAUCACUCACUCACACUCAAGCACAAUAAUUCAGCCCCUCCCUUCCCUCGGUCCUCCUGUCGCGGCCACCGGCCGGCAGCGCCGCCACCGGAGGCCGGCAAGCCCUGCCUCCCUCUCCCUCUUCCUCCUUGCACCUCUGUCUCUCCUCUCAUCUCUCUUUCUCAAACUCCGCCCCGCGGCUUCCCAUCCGACGAGAAGCCGCCGUCGACUGCCUCCCUCGUUUCUCCAGAUCCAGCCUCGAUUCCCGGAGACCGCACGACCAGAAGGCCGCCGCCGCCGAGCUCAGUCAAAGCCCCACAACUUCCACUGCCUCACCUCCGAUUCCGGCGAGCAGCAGCAGCUAGCGAAGCCAGCCACCGCCGAAGCCCGGAACCGCCGACUCCCUCGACUCUCUUCCUGUCUCACUCUCCGUCCUCGGCCGGACAGCAGCAGCGGAGCCGCCGUGCCCUGGCCUCCCUCUUCCCCUAUCUCUCUCUAUAAUCCAGCAUGGUAAUCCCUCUUACCCACACUCGGUCCAGCAGUUUUGUUUUUAAUCGAAAACUCAUAAAAAUUUUAUUUCUUUAAAACAUUACAGAAACGAAAAUAAUAACUUUUAUUCAAAUCACAUAUAUCUCAUAUAUGCAGAUUGAUGAAAAUAAUUAUGUACAUACAUAGAUGUAUAAGCAUUUAAUCUAUAGCAUAGUGAUAAUAGGUGUGUCUGAAAUUGGUUUGCUGCUUAAAUGAGAUUUGAGAGAUGUUUAAAUCAUAUGAUAAAGGAAAGAGGUAUGAGAGUUCAAAGAUGAAACCUUUGAAAGACAAUGAUAUGUGCUUGCUGGUUUUUCUUCUGCUUCUUUUGUAUUUGGUAGAGAGGAUGUCGAAUGAGAAUUUACUGAAAUGAAGUCAUGUUGCUCUUUGGUGAAUGCAGGAAGAAACACGUAAAGAAAUGGGGAGAUUGAAGCAAGGAUUUACCUUGAACACUGGUAGAAAAUGAAUGGAAGUUGCUGCCUUCUCGUGGAAUUCUCAGUGUGGAAUGGUGAAGUGAGUUCUUGGCUGAUUUGUUAAGAGGAGAAGGUU